rnacentral:rRNA from 1 species
CUUCGGGGUACUCGAGCGGCGAACGGGUGAGUAACACGUGAGCAACCUGCCCCAGGCUUUGGGAUAACCCCGGGAAACCGGGGCUAAUACCGGAUAUGACCUUGCACCGCAUGGUGUUUGGUGGAAAGUUUUUCGGCUUGGGAUGGGCUCGCGGCCUAUCAGCUUGUUGGUGGGGUGAUGGCCUACCAAGGCGACGACGGGUAGCCGGCCUGAGAGGGCGACCGGCCACACUGGGACUGAGACACGGCCCAGACUCCUACGGGAGGCAGCAGUGGGGAAUAUUGCACAAUGGGCGGAAGCCUGAUGCAGCGACGCCGCGUGAGGGAUGACGGCCUUCGGGUUGUAAACCUCUUUCAGCAGGGACGAAGCGUAAGUGACGGUACCUGCAGAAGAAGCGCCGGCCAACUACGUGCCAGCAGCCGCGGUAAGACGUAGGGCGCGAGCGUUGUCCGGAUUUAUUGGGCGUAAAGAGCUCGUAGGCGGCUUGUCGCGUCGACCGUGAAAACCUGGGGCUCAACCCCAGGCCUGCGGUCGAUACGGGCAGGCUAGAGUUCGGUAGGGGAGACUGGAAUUCCUGGUGUAGCGGUGAAAUGCGCAGAUAUCAGGAGGAACACCGGUGGCGAAGGCGGGUCUCUGGGCCGAUACUGACGCUGAGGAGCGAAAGCGUGGGGAGCGAACAGGAUUAGAUACCCUGGUAGUCCACGCUGUAAACGUUGGGCGCUAGGUGUG